rnacentral:rRNA from 1 species
ACGGAAGGCAGCAGUGGGGAAUAUUGGGCAAUGGGCGCAAGCCUGACCCAGCAAUGCCGCGUGAAGGAAGAAGGCUUUCGGGUUGUAAACUUCUUUUAAGUGGGACGAUAAUGACGGUACCACUUGAAUAAGCUCCGGCUAACUACGUGCCAGCAGCCGCGGUAAUACGUAGGGAGCAAGCGUUAUCCGGAUUUACUGGGUGUAAAGGGCGUGUAGGCGGGACAGCAAGUCAGAAGUGAAAUUCCCGGGCUUAACUUGGGCGCUGCUUCUGAAACUGCUUUACUUGAGUACUGGAGAGGAUAGUGGAAUUCCUAGUGUAGCGGUAAAAUGCGCAGAUAUUAGGAGGAACACCGGUGGCGAAGGCGGCUAUCUGGACAGUAACUGACGCUGAGGCGCGAAAGCACGGGGAGCAAACAGGAUUAGAUACCCUGGUA